UUAAUACUCCCUCCGUCCGAAAAUACUUGUCGGAGGAAUGGAUGUAUCUAGACAUAUUUUUGUUGUAGUACAUCCAUUUUUAUGCAUUUCUCCGACAAGUAAUUUCGGACGGAGGGAGUACAUG
rfam:Triticum aestivum genome assembly, contig: Triticum_aestivum_CS42_TGACv1_scaffold_644081_T_2BS-0.141681_2AL-0.116597